rnacentral:lncRNA from 1 species
AGAUAAGCGCAACCUCUUUUGUAAGGUGCGGCUGAAAAGCCGUAUACUCUCUAAGAUAAGCGCAGGCGCUUUUGUGACCGCUCUCCACUGCUGACCGACUGCUGCCAAACGCCUCGGAAUAACUGAAGGCCUGUGCUACCUGCUGGUCAAAUAUAUUUACUGCAUCUGGAGUAGAAAUCAGGUAAAAUCAUGGCGGAAUAUUUAUCAUUUGCUGAAAUUGGUAAUGUUUUUGCUUAUUACAUGAAUUCACUGUUUGAGGAGGAUGCUAAUUUGCCAAUUAUUGGCCUAUAUGCUGUCAUGGCAGUUAGCUUGCUGGUACAAAUAGUAUUACUAGCCAGAGGACUCAGGAAUAGAGAUAAGGAUAACCUCACCACCUGCUUACAGGAAAUAACAGCUUUACGAUUAGGUCAGACCACAAUUGUGCAGCAAAUGGAACAGAAAUUGGAUGAUAAGCUUGGCUCUGUGUCCAAUACACUAAAGACAGAGCUGUCUGAUGAGAUACAGCGUAUUUAUGAUAAGAUAAACACAGAGAGAUCCUCCAUGUCUGAGGCCUUAGAGGCUAGGCUGUCAGAAGACCAUGACCAGCUAAAGAAUAUCUGUAGCCAGCUAGAAACUCAGAUAGGCAAUGUUACUCAUCAACUAGAUGCAACAGUGCAAAAUACCCAGCAUAGGGUUGAAGAAUUGGACAAUGCCAUUCAAUCAGUUAUUGAAGCAUCCAAGGUAGCAGAUCAGAAAUUUGAGUCUAGAUUUGAAUGUUUGGAAGAUAAUUUACAGUACAGGGCUGACAGAUUACAUAGGUCCAUACGGUCAAUUGCUGAGGACUCAAAAUCAGCAAAUCAUGACCUGGAAUCUAGACUCCAAUACCUAGAAGGCAGUUUCCAUGCCAUCCAGAUGCUGUCUAAGGAUGAUCGUAUGAAAGACCUAGAAAAACGUGUAGAUGAGCAGUUAGAGCAAUUUACAGAUUCACUAACGUGCUUGGAAUCUUUUAUGAUUAAGGAGAUUGAAACUUAUCAAAAGGAUAUCAUUGCUAGGCUU